UCUCCGGGUGACGAGCGGCGGACGGGUGAGCAAUGUCUGGGAAACUGCCUGAUGGCGGGGGAUAACUAGUGGAAACGGUAGCUAAUACCGCAUAACGUCGCAAGACCAAAGUGGGGGACCUUCGGGCCUCACGCCAUCAGAUGUGCCCAGGUGGGAUUAGCUAGUAGGUGGGGUAACGGCCCACCCAGGCGACGAUCCCUAGCUGGUCUGAGAGGAUGACCAGCCACACUGGAACUGAGACACGGUCCAGACUCCUACGGGAGGCAGCAGUGGGGAAUAUUGCACAAUGGCGCAAGCCUGAAUGCAGCCAUGCCGCGUGUGU
rnacentral:rRNA from 1 species